rnacentral:rRNA from 1 species
ACGGUCCUAAGGUAGCGAAAUUCCUUGUCGGGUAAGUUCCGACCUGCACGAAUGGCGUAACGACUUCCCCACUGUCUCGACCAGGAGCUCGGCGAAAUUGCAGUACGAGUAAAGAUGCUCGUUAAGCGCAGAAGGACGAAAAGACCCCGGGACCUUUACUAUACCUUGGUAUUGGCGUUAGGCGCGGAUUGUGUAGCAUAGGCGGGAGGCUUCGAAGCGUGGGCGCCAGCUCAUGUGGAGCCGCAAGGUGAAAUACCGCUCUGUUCUCGUUUGACGUCUAACCUCGACAAGUCAUCCUUGUCAGGGACAGUGCCUGGCGGGUAGUUCAACUGGGGCGGUUGCCUCCCAAAGAGUAACGGAGGCGCUCAAAGGUCCGCUCAGCCCGGUUGGCAAUCGGGUGUCGAGUGUAAUCGCACAAGCGGGCUUGACUGCGAGGACGACGGUCCGAGCAGGGACGAAAGUCGGAGAUAGUGAUCCGGUGCCGGCGCACGGGCGCGGCAUCGCUCAACGGAUAAAAGGUACCCCGGGGAUAACAGGCUGAUCAUUCCCAAGAGUCCAUAUCGACGGGAUGGUUUGGCACCUCGAUGUCGGCUCGUCGCAUCCUGGGGCUGGAGCAGGUCCCAAGGGUUCGGCUGUUCGCCGAUUAAAGCGGCACGCGAGCUGGGUUCAGAACGUCGUGAGACAGUUUGGUCUCUAUCCUCUGCGCUCGUUGGAAUCCUGAGGAGGCCUGCCCAUAGUACGAGAGGACCUGGGUGGACGAACCUCUGGUAUGCCGGUUGUCGCGCCAGCGGCACGGCCGGUUGGCUACGUUCGGGAGGGAUAACCGCUGAAAGCAUCUAAGCGGGAAGCCUGCUCCAAGAUUAGGAUUCCAUGGAUCUUCGAGAUCCUGUAGCCCGCAUGUUGAACACGUGUUUGAUAGGCCGGAGGUGGAAGCCCCGUGAGGGGUGGAGCCGACCGGUACUAACGGGCGACGGCGACAUAAC